rnacentral:tRNA from 1 species
AAGGAUGCAGCUCAGUGGUUGAGCAUCUGCUUUGCAUUCAGAAGGUCCCGGGUUCAAUCCCUGGCAUCUCUA